GACGAACGCUGGCGGCGUGCUUAACACAUGCAAGUCGAACGAUGAAGCCGGAGCUUGCUCUGGUGAAUUAGUGGCGAACGGGUGAGUAACACGUGAGUAACCUGCCCUUGACUCUGGGAUAACUGCUAGAAAUGGUAGCUAAUACCGGAUACGACCCUCGGCGGCAUCGCCAGGGGGUGGAAAGAAUUUCUGUAAAGGAUGGACUCGCGGCCUAUCAGCUAGUUGGUGAGGUAACGGCUCACCAAGGCGACGACGGGUAGCCGGCCUGAGAGGGUGACCGGCCACACUGGGACUGAGACACGGCCCAGACUCCUACGGGAGGCAGCAGUGGGGAAUAUUGCACAAUGGGCGCAAGCCUGAUGCAGCAAGGCCGCGUGAGGGAUGACGGCCUUCGGGUUGUAAACCUCUUUUAGUAGGGAAGAAGCGAAAGUGACGGUACCUGCAGAAAAAGCACCGGCUAACUACGUGCCAGCCGCCGCGGUAA
rnacentral:rRNA from 1 species